rnacentral:ncRNA from 2 species
AUCUGCUUUGAAGCGCAUGGACUUCGCGAGGAGCGAAGUUGACGAGGAGGGAGGUUCCCGGCGCGAGCCGGAGCUAACGGGUCUGAACGACCCGGAACAUCGAGAGAUCAGCGGAAGCCUCCCCGGUGCAGGGCACCACCGAUAACAGACAAACCAAUACCUGCCGGUGACGGUGAGGGCAACGUUGUCUGUAGUGACCCA